UGGCGGACGGGUGAGUAACGCGUACGGAAAACCUGCCGUAUACUGGGGGAUAACACUUAGAAAUAGGUGCUAAUACCGCAUAAGCGCACAGCUUCGCAUGAAGCGGUGUGAAAAACUCUGGUGGUAUACGAUGGUUCCGCGUCUGAUUAGCUAGUUGGUGGGGUAAUGGCCUACCAAGGCAACGAUCAGUAGCCGGCCUGAGAGGGUGAACGGCCACAUUGGGACUGAGACACGGCCCAAACUCCUACGGAAGGCAGCAG
rnacentral:rRNA from 1 species